UGGGGAAUAUUGGACAAUGGGCGCAAGCCUGAUCCAGCCAUGCCGCGUGAGUGACGAAGGUCUUCGGAUUGUAAAGCUCUUUUGGCGGGGACGAUAAUGACGGUACCCGCAGAAUAAGCCCCGGCUAACUUCGUGCCAGCAGCCGCGGUAAUACGAAGGGGGCUAGCGUUGUUCGGAAUUACUGGGCGUAAAGCGCACGUAGGCGGACUGAUAAGUCAGGGGUGAAAUCCCGGGGCUCAACCUCGGAACUGCCUUUGAUACUGUUAGUCUCGAGUCCGGAAGAGGUGAGUGGAAUUCCUAGUGUAGAGGUGAAAUUCGUAGAUAUUAGGAAGAACACCAGUGGCGAAGGCGGCUCACUGGUCCGGUACUGACGCUGAGGUGCGAAAGCGUGGGGAGCAAACAGGAUUAGAUACCCGAGUAGUCCCUGAGCGGGCUGGCAAGGCGCAU
rnacentral:rRNA from 1 species